rnacentral:sRNA from 1 species
AUGGCUGUCGUCAGCUCGUGUCGUGAGAUGUUGGGUUAAGUCCCGCAACGAGCGCAACCCUCAUCUUCAGUUGCCAUCAUUUAGUUGGGCACUCUGAAGAAACUGCCGGUGACAAGCCGGAGGAAGGCGGGGAUGACGUCAAGUCCUCAUGGCCCUUACGGGUUGGGCCACACACGUGCUACAAUGGCGGUGACAAUGGGGUGCGAAGGCGCGAGCCGGAGCCGAUCUCAAAAAGCCGUCUCAGUUCGGAUUGCACUCUGCAACUCGGGUGCAUGAAGUUGGAAUCGCUAGUAAUCGCGUAUCAGCAUGACGCGGUGAAUACGUUCCCGGGCCUUGUACACACCGCCCGUCACACCAUGGGAGUUGGUUCUACCCGAAGCCGGUGCGCUAACCGCAAGGAAGCAGCCGACCACGGUAGGGUCAGCGACUGGGGUGAAGUCGUAACAAGGUAGCCGUAGGGGAACCUGCGGCUGGAUCACCUCCUUUCUAAGGACGUUCUGGAAGCCGGAUCGCAAGGUCUGGGGUCUUGGACAAUCCUUCCAUCUACCCGGACCGGAUCGUUCCUGAUCCGCCGUCUGCGCAUCCCUUCUCGGGUUCAGAAGUCAGAGAUCAGAAGUCAGAAGUCAGAUUGGCGGGUGCCCCUUGGGCGUGCCAUGUGACUUCUGGCUUUUGGUCUCUGGGGAUCGGGUAUCGGGGCUGUAGCUCAGCUGGGAGAGCGCCUGCUUUGCAAGCAGGAGGUCAUCGGUUCGAUCCCGUUCAGCUCCACCAGAUGGUUGCUGAGCGCUGGACACGGGCUAGUAGCUCAGUUGGUUAGAGCGCGCGCUUGAUAAGCGUGAGGUCGGAAGUUCAAAUCUUCCCUGGCCCACCAAGAUUGCGCGCUGCGAAGCUGGCGCUGCUGAAAAGUUCGGAAGACGAGUGUUUGGUUUCUUGGAUCGUCUGAUCCCUGAUACCUGAUCCCUGUCUUCUGGCUGUUUGACAUUGUUGAUCGGAUGCAAUUGACCGGCUGCGGGGGUCUUUCCGUGGUUCUGGGCUGAGGGCUUUUGUCUUCAGCGCGGGAUCCGUGAACCCGUGCUUUCCCUUAGUGACUUGGGGGGCGGCAUGGCCUGUGGUCGGUCUGAUGAGAUUACUGAAAUGCUGAGAGUGCCGAGGUGGAUGGCGAAGAGGUCGUCUGCUUUGGAUCAAGCGCAAUAAGGGCAUUUGGUGGAUGCCUUGGCACUGAGAGGCGAAGAAGGACGUAGCACGUUGCGAUAAGCCGCGGGGAGGGGCGAGCGCCCGUUGAUCCGCGGAUUUCCGAAUGGGGAAACCCGG